UUGAUUCAGAAUCGCAUAUAUUAAAAUUGGAACAAAUCCAAGAAAAAUAGCAUGGCCCCUGAGCAACUAUGUCAAAUAAAUUCAGUAAAGCAUUCCAUAUUUAA